GCAUCGUGCGCCGCUGCUCUGCCGUGAUCAGGGAAAAACCGUGGGCGGCAGGCACGCUAGAAAAUAACGGCGCACGUGUGUGCUGUUCUUUUUACAGGGUCUCCUCUUUUACCCGGAACAGAGGGAUGGAGAGGAGACAAGGGGUGCUUUUUGUCUAUUGACAUUUGGAAGCCUCUCAUCCUGAGUUUCAGCGCACUCUGAGCUGGAGUCCAUGCUGGUUUUGAGUCUCUUGGUGGUUUUGGGCCUGAGGCAGCGGCCGAUGUUUCCGACGUGCACAGCUAUGGAGGAGGUACAGGCUGCUUGGUGAAAUCUGACCUCCUGUAUUCGUCCUGAUUCCGCUGACUGCUAACACUGAACACGGAUCCAUUUCAACAAGUCCUUUCCAGGAUCACUGUCCAACCUGAGAGCAUCAUUGAAAAGAACCGCUAGGCCUUUUGGUUGUCAGUGGAUCCAGACCAGCAGAACCUGCCUCUCUGAAGAAGGUACCUGGAUAAAGUUGUAUUUACGUUGAAUGAAAGUAAAGACCCUGCCGAGACCGAGGUCUGGAUCUGAGCUACACAUCCAAAACCUCCACGGAGCCGGAGGUGUGUGUUAACCUCUGAGCAUCGGCAGAAUAAUGCGUCUUUAACGGGCCUCAGUGAAGAGGAGGUGGGAGACCACACUGGCAAACCGGAGCAGAGACUAAUCAAGAAUCUGACUGCUUUAAAUCUGUUUAAUGAAAAUAAUAAAACACAAUUACUCUGGAAACCCUGAAACCCAAUGUAAAGCCAUGGUUGACAAUGUGAGGGCCUGAACCUGUGGCUGCAGCGUCACUAAGCUGAUCCGAACAACGGCCUCAUCCUCUGGAAUGACGCUGAUGGUUUGGGGUUGGGCUGGACCGGCCCGGGCUGGUCCGGGCCCGACCCGUCUGUCCCACAGUCACGUCCGGCCUCCAACAUCUGUCCUGUCUGCUACCAGUCAGACUGUGAGACACUGAGGGCGGAGUUCUGCUGCUGUCACAGUUGGUUACCGCUCCGUCUCCCUCGAGCUGCACAAACGCCGUCCCACUUGGACUUUUACUGUUUCCAUGGUGAAACUGCAAGUUAGCUGCCGGAGGAGCCCGAGACCGAUGGCAGCAGAGAUCAGCGCUGCGCCCACUCUGUUGACGGCCCAGAGGGACACGUGAAAGAGGAGCCGGACCGUCUCUGCACACGACGCCGGCCUCGGACAAACGCACGCGCUGGGACCGGGGCCGAAUCCAGGAGCUCCACCAGCACCGGCGGCCCAACACCAGGGGACUGCUUCGAGUUUGACUUGACUGCUGGUUUUCCAACCCUCCUUUCCCCAGACACACCUUAAUGCCGCUCGCUGCUCAAGCUAAACAGCCGGGAGCGUUAGAAAAGCAGCAGGGACACCUACACAGAACCUAAAGAACCAACUGUCUGGACCGUGUACUGGACCCUCUGACACACUGGCCUUGUUGCAUUUGGGCCAAGUGCUGCGUGACCUCGGAUCCCUGGCAACAUCCAUCAGCUUUGUUGGAUGUUGCAUCAUGUUCAGCUGCAUUUUGUAUAAUUACAGAGUUGGGACUCGGAUCAGAUGUUUGGAGGUGAAUGGGAGGAGGUCGCUCCUCCUCCUCAUUCAUGUGUGAACUUGCUGCUCCUCUCUGCUCACCUCCUCUUUCCUUCUAGUUAUCGUCGCAUCUCUUCCUGCUCCUUCACGCCGUCCUUAUUUCACGUCCACCCUGGUUCUGUCUGUCCCUCAUCCACACCUCCUCAUCGCUGCGCUCAUUCAGCGCCUCUGUUCCCCAUUUCUCCUCUCUCCUCCCUCUUCGUGUCUCUUCUCCCUAUUGUUCUUUUCUCUUCCACGCUUCACUUUCUCCAGAUCUCCUCCAUCUCUCCUUUUGUUUUCUCCUCUUCCCUCUGGCCCCAUUGUUCGCUGCUCUUGUUUAUUUGGUUUACUCCUACUCCCAAUCUUUUAGUUUCUGUCCUUCACUACUUUCCUCCUCAGUAAUGAGACAAAGCCGUUCCCUCGUCAUUGUUUAACUGUCUUUUGUUCGUGUCUGUUCUUCUGCGAGUCAAUAAAUCUCCACUCGCCUCCUUCAGUUCAGUGUUUGUCUGAGGACAAAGACAUUGUUCUGCUGAUGAAGUGAUCAGUUGAGUCUUUUCUAAGAAUCAGAAAAUGAAUUAAAGUCAAUAAAUCACAGUUUUCUUUCCACAGCAGCUAAUUGAGAAAUAGAGCUGUAGAUGCUGCUGAAUGAGCGGCAUGUGUUGUCGAAGUUUAACCUUUGACCCCUCUCGCCUCUGUGGUGUGAGGGGCGAGCUGAUGUUCAACCAUCCCGCAAGUCUGAUCAUUUAACUGUUUUAAAAGGGUGAUAACAAUAUAAAUAAAGACCUGAUUACAAUUCAUUAAAA